rnacentral:tRNA from 1 species
CAAGUUAAAUCUAAUUAGUUUAGAGAUUUAUUUACAUUAAAUUUAAGUUGUGCAAAUCAACAUAAUUUGA